UUGGAGAUGAGACUGGAUGGCAGUUGGUGGAAAGGAGGAGUCCCCAGGUCUGUUCCGUCCAAACACUGUUGGAGCAAGACACAGAUCCGCGGGACUG